GGACUACCCGGGUAUCUAAUCCCGUUCGCUCCCCUGGCUUUCGCGCUUUAGCGUCAGUAUCAGCCCAGUGACCCGCCUUCGCAUCUGGUGUUCCUCCCAAUAUCUACGCAUUUCACCGCUACACUGGGAAUUCCAGUCACCUCUUCUGUACUCUAGCUUGGCAGUAUCAAAUGCAGUUCCCAAGUUGAGCCCGGGGCUUUCACAUCUGACUUGCCAGACCGCCUACACGCGCUUUACGCCCAGUAAUUCCGAACAACGCUUGCCCCCUACGUAUUACCGCGGCUGCUGGCAC
rnacentral:rRNA from 1 species